rnacentral:ribozyme from 1 species
GACAGCGAGAAAGAAAGACAGGAGAAUCAGCAGAUACGAAAAAAACAAAUGUGAUUGUGUUUUCCUUUCCCCCCCUUGUUCUUCCCUCUCUGUCCUUUUUUUUAAUAUUUCCUUCUUUGU